UACAGAGGGUGCAAGCGUUGUUCGGAAUUAUUGGGCGUAAAGCGCGUGUAGGCGGCAUUGCAAGUCGGGUGUGAAAGCCCUGGGCUCAACCCAGGAAGUGCGCCCGAAACUGCUUUGCUUGAGUACCGGAGAGGGUGGCGGAAUUCCCCAAGUAGAGGUGAAAUGCGUAGAUAUUGGGAGGAACACCAGUGGCGAAGGCGGCUACCUGGACCGGAACUGACGCUGAGGCGCGAAAGCGUGGGUAGCAAACAGG
rnacentral:rRNA from 1 species